GUUGGGGCCAAUUUUGUUCAAUAGCUUCAUUAGUGAUCUGGAAGAUGGGAUGGAGUGCACCCUCAGCAGGUUCACGGAUGACGCCAAGCUGGGGGGAGUAGUAGAUAGGGUAGGGCUAGGAUUGAGAGUGACCUAGACGAAUCAGAGGAUUGGAUCAAAAAGACUCUCAUGCAGUUCAGUAAGGACAAGUGCAAAGUCCUGCACUGAGGUCAGAACAGUCCCAGGCACCCGCACUGGCUGGGCAGCAGCUUUGCAGAAAAGGACGGGGGGAUUACCGUAUCAAAUACCAUUGAUUUUAGUGUAAGAGGAACUGUUGAUGCAGAUUAAAACAUGCUGACUGAUUUGCCUUUUCACACCUUAUUGGUAACAGUUAUGCUGUUAGUGAGACCCAGCACUUAGCCACUGGUGGGCUGUUCGCACCUCGUUAAUGGUCAUUACUUUGUUACUUGGAAUGCCUUACCUCUGAUAGCAACCUGAAAAUUAACAGGACCUGUUCAACAUCGAUAGUGGUAAAUUAACCAACUACCCUGCCUGUCCAACAAUUUUUUGAUUGCCAGAUGAGUCUGUUGUAUACAUCUUUGACUUUAUUCUCUUUCCAUGGGUAAUGGUAUUAAAACAUGUAGAAACAUCUUCAUUGGAUGGUUUGAACCAGAGUGGGGAGGUAAGAACGUUAACAUUUGCAAGCUCUUUAAUGAAAAGGAAACAAAACCAAAACGCAGUGUUCGUUUUUGUUUUUAGGUUACAUCAAGUUCAUUGUAGUAACAGGGCGUCUUAGUUAGAAAAUGAUCUAAAGCUCCUUCAGGAAGCUGGUUUCAUAUGGUGGUUUAGAUUUAACUACUUAUUGUCUAGCACCAUUUGAAAUCAGUGUUCUUGGAGGAAGAAUGGCUGCCCUUUUGUCUGAGGAACCUUGACGGUACGAGACGAAGAAAUCAGGACCUCUCUACAUGCUCGUAGUAGGUUUGUCCAGCCAGGCCUGUAUUUAAGACUUUAUGGUUUAGCUGAACCAUAUGAGGAUGUUCCAAUUUGUUGUUGGACACGCAGAUUUCCACUGUUCAUCAUACCAAGCAACAGUGUAUUUGUAACAUUUGUAGACUCUGAACUUGGUGGUAAGAUAAUGAAGCACCACGUGGAAUUACAGCAUAACUUUUUAGACCUAAUUUGUCACUGUUGUUCCAACUGUUAUAUUAUCAAUUGAAUUAACCUAUUUUAUCCUGGACUGUUAGCUCUCCAGGAUGACUCUCUCAUUUGUUUUAUGUUCUUUACAGGUCUAAGUGCGUUGUUGUUACUGUUUACUUUACUAGUUCUUACUCUGUCCUUGUAAAACAAUUUGUAUCUUAUCUAUUAAAAUGGAUGAAAGUAUUAUGUACCUAUAAGAUUCAAAACAUGAUAGUGUUUAAAAUACCUGAGUGAGAUUUUGUGAGAUCAUCGGACCCUAUAGAAGUAAGCUAGAAGGACCCCAUUAGGUCAUCAAAUCCAGCCCCCUUCUUGGCAGGAUCACCCUUAACUAAAACACCCCAGUCAAGUGCCUGUCUAACCUGCUCUUGAACAUUUCCGGGGUGGAGAGUCCACAACUUCUCUAGAAAGCCAGUUCCAGUGCCUGAGUACUCUCAUCAUCAGAAAAUUCUGCCUAAUAUCCAUCUUAAGUCCCCCCUGCUGCAAUUUAAGGCCAAUGCUCCCAGUCCUGUCUCCUAUAGUCACAGAGAAAGUCUAUCUCCAUCCUGUGUAUAAUUGCCUUUCAGUUAUUUGAAGCCUGUUAUUAAAUCCUUCCCCACCCCAGUCUUUUUUUCUCCAGACCAAAUAAUCCAAGUUCUGUUAGCCUCUCUUCAUAAAUGAUGUUUAGCAGGCCUCUAAUCAUUUUUGUCCCUCUCUGCUGGACUCUUUCCAAUCUGUACAUAUCUUGCUUGAAGUGUAGGCCAAAACUGAACACAGUACUCCUGGUGAGGCCUCACCAGUACCAGAUAGAGCAAAAUAAUCACUUUCCUUGAUUUGUAAGAGACAUCUCUGUUAAUACAACCCAGUAUGCUGUAGGCUUUUUUUUUUGCAACAAGAGACAUUGUUGGCUCACACUCAGCAUAUGGUUCACUGUAACUAGCCAGUUGUUCUGCAGUCUGUAUUUAUGCAUGCCAUUAUGCCAUCCCAAGUGCAGUAUUUUGCACUUGUCCUUGUUGAGUCAUUCCUCAUUGAUUUUUGGACUGCUUUUUCAUUCUCUCCAGGUCAUGCUAGAUCCUAGCCCUAUCUUCCAGGGUGUCUGAAACUCCAUCCAUUUUGGUGUCACCUGUAAAUUUGCUAAGCAUGUACUCAAUCCCCUUGUCCAAAUCAUUAAUGAAGAUUUUAAACAAUGUAGGACCCAAGACAGACUCUGGGGGAACCCCAUUUGAUACUUCUUCCCCAUUUGACAUUGAGCCAGCGAUGACUACUCAUUGAGCAUGAUGAUCCAACCACUUAUGUAAUCACUUGCAGUACUUUACUCUAAUUUGUAUUUCCUUAUUGAGGAGAACGCUGUGGGAGACUGUCAAAUGUCUUGCCAAAGUCUAGGUAUAUCUUAUCCACUGCUCUCUCCCAAACAUGGAGCCUGUCACCUUAUUGUAGAAAGAUAUCAGAUUGGUCAGGCCCAUGACUUGCUCUUGGUGAACCCACCUGGGUGUUCCUGAUCACCUUGUUCUCCUCUAGGUGCUUCACAAUAGAUUCUUUGCAGAUCAGCUCCAUGAUAUUUCUAGGUAUCAAGGUCAGGCAGAUAGCUCUAUAACUCUUUGUUUCCUCUUCUUUCCCUUUCUUAAACAUGGACAUUUAUACUUGCCCAUUUCCAGUCAUCCGGAACCUUACCUGAACUCUUCAGUUUAUCAAAGGGGAUGGCCACUGUCUGAAAUUAUCUCAGCUAGUUCCUUCAGUACUCUAUGCUGUAUUCCAUGCAACCCUGCAGACUUGAGAAUAUCUAUCUUCUCAGAGUAAUACCUAACCCCUUCUUCUACUACUGGAUAGUUUGUCCCCCUCCUUGUCUUAGCUGCCAACAGCGCUCAUGUUCUAAUGCAGGGAUGUACAGCUUCUAAGUAGCUGGGGGCUGAUCACCCUGUGGACCACACCGUCACGGGGUGCAUGCUUGCAGGCCGUAAGUAAGCCAUGCCUCCCCCACCCCUGGGCCACACAUCACAUGGACACUCCCUCAUUUGCUGCAUUGUGUAUCCAUGCACCCCUCCCACUGCUGCACUGUGCACCUAUGCAGCCUUUCCCUCCCCCUCCUUUUCCCCUGUCCUCCAUCCCCACCCCCACCCCGCUUGUCCUCAGCUCCCCCUGCCACACUGCCCUAUACCCCAGGGGUGGGAGCAGGCAGCAAAAGCUAGAGAAGGGAGGGGGGAGCUCAGGGAGUCCAACUGCCCUUGCAGCUGCAACAGUGUGGGAGGCAGCAACUGGGCAGGGGGCUGCAAAUUAACCCCCUAGCUGAAAACCAAUGAUCUAGUUGACAUUACUUAUGAAGACUGAAGUAAAAAAGGCAUUAAAUCGGUCUUCUCUGCAUCAUCCAUAACUAGGUUGCCUUCUGCAGAGGACCUACACAUUCCUUUGUCUUCCUUUUACUUCUCAUACAUUAGAAGAAUCCCUCUUUAUUCCCUUUUAUGUCCCUUGCCAGUUGCAUCUCAAGUUGUGCCUCAAGAUCCUUAGAUGUAAAGUACUGUAUUCUAUUUUAUUGUAUUACACAAUGUAGGUUGUUCUUUCCUACAGGUCUCAGUAACCCCUUUAGAGGAUGACUGAUUUCUUUUGGUGUUCAGAGUCCAUACUAUUUUCUAGCACCAUUUGAAAUCGGUUAUAGUGAUUGGGGAAUUGCACCGUGUGAAUUUUUGAUAAUGCAGAUCUCAAAAGGAGAACCUUGAACUGUUACCGACAAAUGAAUUGUUAGGCGAACUGCAUUGCUGGUUCAAAAGUUGCUGAUAUACUCAGCACAUGUGUGGGAUCUGCAACACCAUACAUCGACAUCAUAUCUACUAUGCUCAUCUAAACAGAGGUAAGAGAAUCCCAAAUAUUCACAAUCCAGGUUAACAUAAUCUGUGGAAUUUGAUGAAUCAUUUUGUUACGUCACCAGGUUUUGAUUUAGGUCUUCUAUAUUAAAUGUGUGCCCCAAAUUUAAUGGAAAGCAGCACUAUGUUGGAGAGAGGGUAUAAAGAGUGAUUGUUUUUCCCCAGAUGGAGUGAGCUUAAGACUGCGAGAAUCAAAAUUUUCAUGAUGAUUUUCAAAAUUUUCUGAACUAAUAUUACUGUAUUUUGAGAGGCAUGAAUUUUUUUUUUGGUGAUACCUGUUAUUGGACCAUCUACAUGGCCAGGAUAAAGUUAGAUCAGUUUUCCAGCAUUUGCUCCCAAGUUUCUCGUAUUGUUGUCUGUACGGAUCUUCUGCAGAACACUGGUGAAGUGGGGGAAAAAAACAGAGAAAAUAUUUAAUGGUAAGGCUAGAAAAUAAGGAGGACUUAGAGUGAGAGAGAGAGACCCCUGAAACUACUUUUCUCUUUUUUAAAUUUUUACAUUUUUUUAAUGUAUCCUAAAUUGUUGUCUUUUUAAGAGUGAACCCUGUAAAAAAAAACAUAACCACAGCCAUCAAGAUGCUAUAUUUUUAGAUGAGAAAUAGAUUUAAUGACAUUCUCUAAAUGCGCUUAUCAGAUACUGCAACUCAGCCAUCUCUGCACAUCUGUCCUAUUCAACUUUUGAUACCUUGCAGCAGUUGUGUAACGUUUAAGGGAAAAAAAACCAUGAAAAACACCCCUUGGUCUACAGCAUUCCUUCAACUGCAAAUCUUCUAGGAACUCUAAUAAUCAAAGAAAUGCUUAUGCUGUGCCAAGCAUACCAUGGGAGCUUAACAGGUUUUUAAUAAUGAAAUAACACAAAGAGUACCUGACAAAAAGCUGAAAAAUAGAAAGCUCUUGUUAGGCAAGUUUUUGGGGGGGGGGUUUAAACAAAAAUUACCAAAAUAAUGUUCAUAAUUCCCUGUUUUAAUGUGGUUUUCUAAAAGCCCAAUGUAGUGCACAUUGUCUUGGGAGUUCAGUUCUUGGGUUGGAAUGGAACAGGUAAAGAAAACAGUUGCAUCAUUUUAGAGAAGAAACUAGGUUGUGGGUGGAUCCCCUAAUGGCAGAAAUACCAGAGAUGCCAUACAAUCCAUUAGGGACUCUGCUUUUGCUAUUGAGGUUAUUUAUAAGGUGUUUAGAAACAAUGGUAACUAGUAUAAAACUCAACAUUAGACUACUGGAUAAAUGAAAGAUAGCUGUAACACAGGUAGCCUAGCCAACUUGUGAUUAUUUGUCAAAGGUUCAUAGGGCAGUCUUUUCUCCAAUAAAAUCAGGAACUGGUUAUUUUUAAUUCUUGUCUUUGCCUUUCCUGUCUCAGGAAAAAAGUUGGGGGAGGAUUCCUGCAUAACCUUCACCACCCCUUUAUCAUAGGAAACACACUUUUGGCUGAUGCUUCCCAAUACCUGCUGAAGCUACUGGGUCUGAACCAGCCAUGGGCAGUCUUCCAAACUGUCUCGGACUUCCAUGGCUUUUAGCAUCAUUCUCCAGGCUUUCCUAUUCAACUGCCAGCUAAAUUUAAAGAAUUUCCAUUGUGUUCUGAGUGUGAGUCCUAAUAAUACAAACCUCUCUUUCUAAUGAAGCAGAAUGAAACUCCACUCUUCUUAUUUCAGUGCAAAUUCAUUGGGCAAUGUCAUUGUGUAAAUCACAACACAAUUGCCGUAAGAGAGUGAGAUUGUUCUGUGGAAAGUUGUUUUGGACAUAAGGUUUCACCCACAUGUGAUUUAGCCAAGUUAUCCUGGAAAUUUGAAGAGCCUGUGCAAGUUACCUUGAAAUUUUGAAGGAAGAUUGUAAAACAGUCCUCUGAAAAGUCGCUGGCAGUACUAUGGGAUGGCUACCCAUCAUCUCAGCAGGAUGUUUUCCAGUCAUCAUGGUUUCAUUCUGAUGCUUUUAUUCACAGCUCAGGAUAUUGUUGCCCAUCUCUUGUAUUUAUAUAUGUAAACAGGCUGGGGAAAACAUUUUCAACCAGGGUUUGCUUUGUGCCAGGCCAAAGUGCAAGGCUCUUGUGCUUUGUGGUGUCAAGUCCACGCAGGAUCUACGUUCUAUAGCAGAGGUAUCAAACGUAUGGCCAUGGGCAUGUUGUCUGACCAGGGGGGGCUCCCAGUUGGGUUGGGAAAUUCAGUGGCAGGGAGAGCUGGGGUGGGGCCUACUGCCAAAACCCAUAGUCUGGAACCCCACGGGGGGCACAUUUUAACAGCAAGGGUGAAAAAUAGGGGUGCACUGAUAGAGAUUUUUACAGCUGAUAUUGAUGGGUGAUUUUUAUUGAGCUAUAUCAGCCGAUACCGAUCCGAAUGCCAAUAUGCAGCCUGGCAGCAUGGAAAGCAGCCUCCGGCUGGUACAUCUGUUGUGAGAGAAGGGGCCGGGGGAGGGGAGGGGGGCAGAUCAAGGCCCCCGCGGUGAGGGAGGGAGUGGGGCAGGCACCCCUUCCCUCCCCCCGCCCCUUCCCCCGCAGCAGACUGACCAGCCGGACCCGACUGCUCUCCAUGCUGCCAGGCUGGGCGCCUGCAUACUGCGCUGUGGCUGCGCACAUGAACAGGGCAUUUAUCUGCACGUUACCGGCCACAUCAACCAAAAACAGCCAGUUGCCGAUACCCGUCAGUUUUCCUUAUAUCGGUGCUGAUCCGAUAUGGGACCAAUGUAUUGGUGCACCUCUAGUGAAAAACAGCUGCAUUAACCCCUUCAGCAAUCGUCUCCAGUUGUGCUACUGCAUCCAAAUACAGCCUGUGAAGAUACAGCCGUGAUGCCACAGCCUGGAUCUGGCCAAAGGAAGCAGAUGAGUUUGACAUCCCUGCUCUGCAUCAAUCAGAUGGUCUUUGAGGGUCUGUGAUUGAGCAGAAAUUAUCGCCAAGCUAUUGAUUUGAAUAAGUCACCCAGCAAGUUAGAGAACUGAGAAAAGAAAUCAGGAGGUUUGAGAUUCUUUCCCUUAAAACACAUUUUCAUUUAUUAACGUGGACAUUUUAAGAAUCCCUUUCAGAUUUACGUCACGUCCGUGUUACUUCCAGAUUCCUUGACCACCUCGGGCUAGUCACUUCCGCAGUCCUGUCUGGUCAUUUUUGAUUUGGUCCUCCUGUCUUAGCACAAAGCUGAGGUAUUUGGGUUUCAAACAAAAAUACCAGCCCAGACCUGUUCUAAUUAAAAAAAAAAAAAAAAAAGCCAUGAUGGUGUUUCUGUUGAUAUUAAAUCCAGCAACACUUUUCUUCCCAAACAGCAGGUUUGGGUCCAACUGUCCUUUUAGCCCUCGAAUCUUUGGUUCCCUCUGGAACUGGCUCCUGCAUAGGAUUUUGCUUGGGAGGGUGACACAGUGUGACAGGAUGUAGACACAAAUCCUUCAGCUACUAAAAGUUUAGAGCGAGUGCGGCCUCAUGUCUGCAAUGAACCCCAAUUGGUUUCUCCUCCUCCUCUCCCUUGCAAAAACCCUUCCUCAGCCAACCCACCAGAUGUGAGCCACCUCCCUCAGCCCAGAAAGCAACAUGAGCCAUGCAUCCCCCUUCAACAGCAAAGGCUGUGGGUGGAGAAAAGCUGGCUGAGAGCCCAGAAGCAGCUGGCAGACGAGUAUAGAUCUGCCAGCCACUUAAGGUGAAAUCAUGGGGUCGGGAAGUUAAUGUGGGAGAGAUGAGGAAGAUUUACAAGGAAGAAGAGUUCAGGGAUGGGUCCUACACAGAGAAGGACCCCUCUGCGUUGGAGGGGUCAAGGAGAACAUUAUCUUCACGUGACCAGACAUGGCAGCCGUGCCAAAGGGCAGGUUCUGGAGCAGAACGAAUUUCUUUGCCAUGGUAAGAAAGUUUUGGUAUUUUUAAUAAAUAUAUAUAUAUAACCCGAUUGAUGGAAAUAUAUCACAAUUGAUUCGAAUAAAAGUAUAACCAACACAAAACGAACUGCUAACCUUCCAGUACAAGGCUGACCACCAACCAGUGGCUAUCUAGCCGGCGUUGAGGGCAAGCUCUUCCAAGGAUGAGGGAUAGAAAAGAAGUGACCUGACACUGUCUGAGUAGAGGCAUUUGACAUCAUAAAUCUGGGCUAAGAAGGGAAGAUUUCAAAAUAAUACGUUUGCAAGGAGAUCAAGGGGGGAGCUAAGAAAAGACAGCCCUGGCUUCUCGUUUGUCAGCGUAAAUGGAGAGAGCCCAUGAUUACUUUCUGAUGGGCCUAAGAAGGCAGGCAAUCAACAUCCAGCCAUUGGGAAAGAAGAGGCAUUUGUGGAGUACCAUAUUAGGAUGCUCUCUGUUAGGCAUCUUCUAUUACAUGAAUACUGCGGGCUGCAUACUACAGGUCACAGCAGGACUGGAGAAAUGUAUGGUCCAAUAAUACCUAGGGACCCAUCCAGCAAACAGUUCUUAUCAAGUGUCCUGAUGGGUGUUGUUUCUAUCACUUGGGCUCUAGAGGCCUCAUGUAGGUCAAGAACUUUCUGUGUUGGACCCUGUACAACAUACAUAUAGAAACAACAGGCUUUGCCCUGCAGAGCUUGUGGUCAGAGGUCCCCAUCCAGUGGUGCCAUAGAAGUUAUGGCCGGGGUUGGACUGGGUCUGAACAGGGAACACUCUUGCUUCCUGGAAUCAGCAGAUUGGAGCCUGCUAUCAUCACAGUUUAAAGAACCAUUGGGAAUGUUGCCUUUUCCCCUCUUGGUCAUUUUUUUUUCCCAGAGGAAAAAAAAACCCAGAUGGAUGAAUGAUUACAACAGAUGGAUGAACAGUUACAACAACAUGGUCACAAAUGGACUCUGGUCCAUUAGUGACCAUGGACCACAGUCUGAGUCCGUGACCUAUAACAACAAAAGGUGGAAACUUGUCCAGGUGUUACCAGUCACCCCUCCGAAAUGUCCUGGAAAGCAGUGGUAUCCAGUAAAUGGGAUAGAGGCUUGCACAGGGGACUGUGCUUAACAAUUAAGCUCUAAUGCAGUACUAGAAGAGGCCUGUUGCAGUGAACACGGUAUAACAAAUUCGUGACCAUGUAUGUAGUAAAGAUAUCUUUCGUCAUCAGCAGGGCAAGUGAAAGCACCUACCAUGUGAAUUGAAAAUGCAACUCCCUUAUCUGUAAGUAAAAAGCCGGUUCUUCUCUGUUAUAUGGCUACCUGCCAGCAAGAGCCACAAACAUAGCUUUAGCUGGUAUCCAGGGUAGCACAAUAAUGACAGGCAAAAUUGACAUUAGAAGAACAUGAAGGUUACAAAGUCAAGCACUGAAAAUUUGGGAAAUGCCAGAAUUAACGUUUCCCAUAAACUUAAUUCAGCUGCUUUGUGCGUAAGCAUCAUUAUAGUCUUCAAUUAUGUGAUUACAGUAUUUUUUUUCAACAAGUCUCAGUCAGGGUACUGAUGGCUGUUGCUCUCUUGGGUAGCAGCUAGUCAGUGUUUUACUGCCUCGUGGUCUUCUCAAUAGUACUUACCGCUACCGCAUCCAAGUGCUUUACAAAUGUUAACGCACAAUGACUUUUCUUUCAGAUGAGGGGCUAUUCUCGUGCUCAGUUUACAAAUGGGGAACUGAAACACUUAGAUUAAUAGCAAAAGGAGACACUAAUUUGAGUACCAAACGUGAUUAAGAGUACUGGCAACUUUAUAUGUUGAAAGCCCAUCUCCUGUUGACUUCAGUUGCAUCUGCGAGUGUUCAGCACUUCUGCCAGUCAUACCUCGGGGAUCUUAAGUGAGCAACCAGAAACUGAAGAAUGUGUGAAUGGUUGGUUAAUGCAACUUGCCCACCACCACAUAGAAGUGCUGUGGCAGAAGCAGGGAUAAUAUCCAACUCACCGGGGGACAGCCUAACUGCCUUAACCAUGAAACCAACCUUUCACUUCUUGCAACCCCCUGUUAUGUAAGUGAUGCCCAUUCCAACUCCUGCCAGUGAGUUAUUUUAAUGAUUUUAUAAUUCAGUGGCCAUCCUGACUUCUUCCUGCUUCGAUUGUUGGAUGAAAAAUUCAAACAACCUGUCCAGUCUGAACAAAUGAAUUCUUUCUCCCCACAGGUAAAUGCCACAGGAGUCGAUGAGGGGUGUUGAAGGCCAAAGUCUUUAGGUCAGCAAGAAGGAAUAGCUUCUACCUGUGCAUCUAUGUGAAAUUCCAGAGGGAGUAGGGUUACACAGAAGAAUCCACUAUAAAACACUGCUAGGUUUCAGGAGUCUGUGGAAUAAUAAUGCAAUAGCAGCCAAAAACAUAACAAGGAUGGAACAAAGUUUGCUCCACCAUCUCACAAUAACUGCUUAUUACCAGCCUUUGUCUGUGGUAGGGCCCGCAACACGUGAGGCUCUUUUCCAUGUGCAUGAGAGGAAAAGCUGUUUUGCAAUAACAACAUGCAAGAUGCAACAUGACAUGCAGUGAGCUUUCAUUCGAGAUAGGAAGAAUUGGAAAUCAGCCAUCUUGAAUCAAAUCCCACAGGGAUGCGAUUCCUUUGACCCCGUCCUCUCAAAGCAUCAUAAACAAUCAGUUUGUCAGCGUACAAAACUGCUUUCCCCUUCUCCCCAAGUGUGAUUUUUAAUAAAGCUUUGGUUAUCUGUAUUAGAGCUGUCAAGCAUCU